AAACAACAACACAGAGGUUUGAAAGCUAAAUUCAGAGAAAAUCGAGAAAUUUUUCAAGCUCAUUAAAAAUAAUAUAAUACACGUAUGUAGUUUUUAUGUAUUAAGAACUUUAUGCUUUAAUGUAUUUUGUUGUGUAGGUUUUUGUUGCGCUUUGUUUCAUGGGGAUGGUUUUUAAUCAAUGUCGCCAUCUGGUGGUGGGACUUUGGUAAUAACAGACAGUUAAAUAAAUAUAUUCAGAAAAAAAUAAUGCGAUUAUUUUUUUUGUAAAUGUAGUUUAUUGCAGAAAACUACAAAACAAAAUCAACUUGAACUCUGAGUUAAUUUACCCUGAGAUGGGAAACUGAGUUUUCGGUUACAGAACAGCUGAAAUUAGUUAGUUUUAUCAACCCUAAAUUGACUGAGUUAAGCGCGUGCACUACAACUAUAAAAAGCCAUUAUCAAUGGAGCGCAGAUAUAACGAGUCACCAUGGCAACAGCGUCUGACAAAAAGAGGUCUGCAUAUUUCUCACCAGAAGAACUGUUUAUAAAACUGCAGAAAUGCCCAAAAGAAAGAAGGCAGAGGCUCGCAAAACAGGAGAAGGACCUGCACCACCACCUCUGACAAAUGCAGAGGAAAUGGCCCUGAGCCUGAAUGCUACAGUAGAAGGACAAUGGCUGAGGGAAUUCCUGGAGGACUUCAUCAGAACCAGUCACUCCAUAAGAUUUAAGUGCCUCCAUAAAAUAUUGGUAUGAUAAUAUCUGUCUCUUGGUGCCUCCUGUCCCAACAGAACCCCAGGCAGUUGAUGAUGGGGAUGAUGAAGAAACCGUUUCUACUGCCGGAGGAAGGUCCAUCAACUUCUGGUGCACAGAUGAACACAUUGCCAGUUAAAGAGUUAUAUAGACUUCUUCUUAUUAAAAAGACUUGGACCGCCAGAUCCAAAAGGCAGAUCUGGAAAUCGAGAAUCUGAAACAAAAGCUAAAGGUGAGUGUAGUAUGGUCACAGGUGAAUUCUAGGAAGUAUUGAAACUAUAUUAAAAUCUAACUUUUUUUUGGAAAUAAAGA